CUUGCGCCUUCCCGGGCUCUUCUUGUCCCUGGGCGCAUCGUUCACGCCAAAGCACCAGCGCCCCGGUCUAUUUAACGCGACCCCGGCUGGCCUGGAGCUGAGGUCUUAAACGAGGUGGCGGCGGGAGAAUGUUCGGUUCGGCGAGAUUUUUAUGGCGUUGCCGUUUUGGUUAUUUCUAGCCAACUCGAAGCAGGCGCCGUGUGGGAUUCUUGCGGGCGCGCUUGUUCCCACCAGCCCACCGCUCACCAUUUUUCCUCCCCAGGACAGGGAAGGGGCAUGACGGUGGCUCCCUCCUCCCCCCUCGGCGCCCCACCACAUAAAGCAGGAGAAAAAGAUAACUCUAGCAUGCUAACAGUUAGGAAAAAGCUGAGAAACUACUGCAGUGCAGAUUGAAAUGAUCUGCGUUUCUAUAACUAUGGCUGGAAUUGGCCUUUUAUUUAGUUAAUUUGUAUCCCUUUUAUAGUUUUCACAAAAACUCAAGAUGGUGAACACAUCCAAUACACAAUCUUCUUCCUAUUUUCCACACAACAGCCCUGUGAGGGGAGUUGGGCUGAGAGUGAUUGGCCCAAGGUCACCCAGCUGAUUUUAUGCCCAACAUGGGACUAGAACUCAGUUUCCCACUUUCUAACCUGGUGCCUUAACCACUAGAGUAAAGUAGCUUUUAUUUAAAAAAGUGUUUAUCUCUUAAUCUAGGAGUAUAUAAUUUGAAUUGCAAAUUUUACUGUAACAGGUGAAAAUGUUUAAAUGUGAUUAUUAAUCAUACUAAUUAUAUGAAUCUAAUUAAUGCAAUCUAAUUUUUUUAAUUCCACUUCCUUUUGGAGCAAAGCCUAUCACACUGAAAUGCCAUGUUCCUGACUUGAAAAUGUUAUAUACUGUAUAUAAAAGCAUAAAUAUGAAUGUUGAUAUAAACAUGUGAUGUGUUCACACAUUUAGUUAACAUUUUUAAUCAGUAAUUCCCCAGAGUUUAUGUAUUUCUACAAACAAACUUGUGAGAAUGUAUAUAAUUUAGCACCAGAAUUACAGAAGAGCAUAUCUAAUUGCAUAUUUUUUAGGCUUUUAAAAAUUGAGAUAUGAAAAAUUAUAUACAGAAAACUCUUCUGAAAGUUUUAUAGCAGUUGCUGGAUGCCUUAAUUUUAAAGAAAAUGUAUUUCAAGCUCAUAGUUUUAAAAAUAUAACCUUAGUUGGAAAAAGCAGAACUACUGGUAUGUGCAUGUCAGGACAUAUUAUAAACUCUCGAAGACUGAUUCUUAUUCACCCCUCCUUUUCCUUCCAAUGAUUAAUGCUAUUCAUGUGUGCCUUUAACUAUUAUGAACCCUUCAACUCUAUUCAAAUCUUAUUUUUUUUCUUAAACUAACACAUUUUCAGCUUGAGAGGCUUUGAUACUAGAACUACUUCCUAAAUUCUUUAAAACUAAAAAAAAUAUAUUAAGUUUUUAUAGAUGCUGGUUAUCAUAAAUCAAAAUUUGAUAUGCAGAUGUUAAAAAUGAAUGAAAUAAAGAAUUUAACAGAAUAAUAGAGUUGGAAGGGACCCUGGAAGUCUUCUAAUCCAAUCCCCUGCUCAAGCAGGAGACUCUACAGUAUAUACCUGUGAUGGCUA